rnacentral:rRNA from 1 species
AACGAACGCUGGCGGCAGGCUUAACACAUGCAAGUCGAACGCCCCUUUCGGGGGGAGUGGCAGACGGGUGAGUAACGCGUGGGAACGUGCCCUUCAGUUUGGAAUAACCCAGGGAAACUUGGGCUAAUACCGGAUACGCCCUUCGGGGGAAAGAUUUAUCGCUGAAGGAUCGGCCCGCGUCUGAUUAGCUGGUUGGUGAAGUAAUGGCUCACCAAGGCGACGAUCAGUAGCUGGUCUGAGAGGAUGAUCAGCCACAUUGGGACUGAGACACGGCCCAAACUCCUACGGGAGGCAGCAGUGGGGAAUAUUGGACAAUGGGCGCAAGCCUGAUCCAGCCAUGCCGCGUGAGUGAUGACGGCCUUAGGGUUGUAAAGCUCUUUCGCACGCGACGAUAAUGACGGUAGCGUGAGAAGAAGCCCCGGCUAACUUCGUGCCAGCCGCCGCUGUAAAAC